UCUAAGGCUAAAUAUUACCGCAUGUCCGAUAGAAAACAAGUACCGUGAGGGAAAGUUGACAAGAACUCUGAAGAGAGAGUUAAAUAGUACGUGAAACCGUUCAGGGGUAAACCUGGAAAGCUGAACGUUCGAAAUACAGAAAGCAAAAUUAUUAACAAUUAGUAAAUUGAAUUGUGUGUAAAAUCCCACAUAAAUGAUAUUUACGAACGUAAUAAAUUUUGUUAAUGUUUAGUAGAUCAUUGCAAAAUGAUUAGUUGUGUAGAUGAAGUCUAUACAUUGGAUAUAAAUUUUGAAUCACAUAUUGUGUAUUUAAUAAGAUAGAUGAAAAUGUUUAGAAUAUCAACUUCAUCUAAAAACUGAUCAAAGAAAUCAUAUACACUAUGUG
rnacentral:rRNA from 1 species